rnacentral:rRNA from 12 species
UUCAGUCAUCCCAUCUGAGUGUACCUGAUCUUGUCGCGAAGUUAAGUACUCAAGGGCCAGUUUAGCACUCGGAUGAGAGACCACUCAGGAAUUCCAUGAGUCAAUGAGC